GAAACAUUUUUAAAGACCCAAAUCUAUAAAAAAUCGUUUUGGCUCACAGCGGAAAAAUAUCGUUUAUCGUUUAUACUUUUUUCUUUUAUAGCUUUUUCUGGUUUAUUUUUAUCUUUGGAAAGGAGUACCACACGAAAAAAAAUUAGUGUGAAAAAAGUCCUCCAACACGAAAGUUCUAUUGAGCAGUGCCUUAUAAAUGUCCCACAUCACGAAGGUUUCAGUGAGCAGCGUCUUGAAAAUAGCCCGAAUCCCAGAGAUUCCAGUGGGCAAUCUCUUUCAAAACUCCCUCAGGAUGGAAGUGGUAAAAGGAAGUGUGCUAGUUGAGGUCUCAUUCGUGAAGCUUCCUUCCCAAUCCACUGAGACGCUGCUACGUGACCUCCAUAUGAAUCAGAGUACCAGCGAUGGAUCGAUGGUCAAGAAAUGGUAUAGAAGCUAUACCACCUGAUCCUAGUCCCAGACCGGUCUGCUUCGUGACAACCAUUGUAAGAGGCUUGUAGCUGAGCUAAGGGCGAAAACUAAAUUGACCGCCAACGGCGUUGUAUGGGCAGCCAUAGUCUCGCUGCUACAGGGGGUUUUGGAGUCAGGGGCUCUAAAACGGUGCUCUGAAAGGUUGGCUCCCUCUGGGGGUGAGUUAGCGCCGAUGGCAGUUGAAGAGAAAGAGGAGAAAGCGAUGACAUUCGAACGUCAUCCAGCGGAUCCGACCGGUCUCAUAGUGGAUGGGAGCGUGUCCAUCUUCCUUUUGGAAUUUGGAUGUCGAGCGACCAACAUCGCCCCGAACAGGCUCAGCAAAAAUCAUUAAGGGAAAAGUUCCAAAGUCAAAAAAAGAAUAUUGUCAAAGCGCGAGUGGUAUCCAGCAGCAGCAAAGCAAAAGUCGCGGGACUACGAAAACUGAAGCUAGGUCGGCCACUGGGGCCAAGAUUGACGGAUUUGGCGCCUAGCAAUUUGGGCUGGCGAAGCAGCGGCGCUCCAAGCAGCUGAUCCGUCGCAGCACAGAGCGAGGGAGCAGAGACGCAGAAAAAAUUCAGAGAGGCUCGACCUUCGCGGGCAGCCGGAUCGACGUCGGUGAGGCGGCGGCCACAAAGCGGGACGGUCGAUAAUCCGCGAUAGCGGAAAGUGCAGCAAAGGAGGAAAAUCGCGCAAAUCCUACCUAAACGUGCCGUAUGGCAAAUUAAGUUAACAAGGCCCAAAUUAAGAUCCGCAGUACAUAGUGAAGGAAAGAGUUAGUGUGUUGUUGGAGUUCAAUACUCAGAGCUGCAAGGGUAAUGCCCCAAAAAA